UACGGGGGGGAGCAAGCGUUGUUCGGAUUUACUGGGCGUAAAGGGCGCGUAGGCGGCCUCUGCAAGUCGACUGUGAAAUUUCCGGGCUUAACCCGGAAAGGUCAGCCGAUACUGCAGGGCUAGAGUGCAGAAGGGGCAACUGGAAUUCUCGGUGUAGCGGUGAAAUGCGUAGAUAUCGAGAGGAACACCUGCGGCGAAGGCGGGUUGCUGGGCUGACACUGACGCUGAAGUGCGAAAGCUAGGGGGAGCGAACGGG
rnacentral:rRNA from 1 species